rnacentral:lncRNA from 1 species
UCUUCUUUCUCACUUUUAACUGGACUCUUUCCUCUGUCAUUCCACUCCCAGAAGUGUCUCAGUGGGGGGGUUCUGUUCUGAAAGGGAGCCUGACUUGCUGGUUUCUAGAAUUCACAGGAGCUGGAUUUCUGCAGACCCAUUGAUCCUUACUGAAAGCCUCUUAUACUCACCUACUCGGCGAAAGCCCUUCCAGUUCAGCUGCUGUUCGCAGAUGGCCUCACUGAGCUCUCUGUUAAAUACCAUGGCUACUUUCAGGUUCUCCAAUUUUCAGACCCACUGGAACACCCUUUUGUGUUGCUCUGCUUCCUCCCACAGAGACGAUGCAGCUUAUGUGACUACUGGUGCUGUAUCCUCAUGAGCUUGUAUUUUGGGGUCUGUGGGGAAAAUGUUGUGACCUAAUUUUGUUGUAAUUGUCCAUGGUAACUUAAUUCAGAGAGAUUAACAAACUGUGCCCCUGCCUCCAUCGUCUCCACAUUUCUCUCUCUAUAUUAUUCCUGUUUGGAACUUUUUGUAACACAACUGGAAAAAUAAGGCA